rnacentral:rRNA from 1 species
UUUUUUAAGGGUUUGAUCCUGGCUCAGAAUGAACGUUGGCGGCGUGGAUUAGGCAUGCAAGUCGGACGAGAAGUUUCCUUCGGGAAAUGGAAAGUGGCAAACGGGGUAGUAAGGCGUAGGUGACGUACCCUCAGGUUCGGGAUAGCCACGGGAAACCGUGAUUAAUACCGAAUGAUCUCUUUUUGUAUGGUGCAUUAAGAGCAAAGGUGUGAUUCCGCCAGAGGAGCGGCUUACGUGAUAUUAGGUAGUUGGUGAGGUAAUGGCU